rnacentral:rRNA from 1 species
CGUAGGGUGCGAGCGUUAAUCGGAGUUACUGGGCGUAAAGCGUGCGCAGGCGGUUUUGUAAGACAGAUGUGAAAUCCCCGGGCUCAACCUGGGACCUGCAUUUGUGACUGCAAGGCUAGAGUACGGUAGAGGGGGAUGGAAUUCCGCGUGUAGCAGUGAAAUGCGUAGAUAUGCGGAGGAACACCGAUGGCGAAGGCAAUCCCCUGGACCUGUACUGACGCUCAUGCACGAAAGCGUGGGGAGCAAACAGGAUUAGAUACCCUGGUAGUCCACGCCCUAAACGAUGUCAACUGGUUGUUGGGUCUUUACUGACUCAGUAACGAAGCUAACGCGUGAAGUUGACCGCCUGGGGAGUACGGCCGCAAGGUUG